CUCCUUUAUGGCUCUGGUGGUGUUUGGGUUUUCGAAAAACUCCAGGAGGCGGAAAGCUGCUUUCUAUGCAGGAAAGGGUGCUGAGAACCGAAAGGAUAUUUAAGUGAAAUCUCUCUUUGUGCCACUAACUAUGGCCGCAGUAAAGCCACACUGACAUGUAAUCUUCCCAUCGCUGCCGGGUUUUUGAGGAAGGGAGGAAAAAACGACAAGCCAUUUCAAAACAGACCUUUGUGAGCCUUUUUGGCCGGUGCGUGUGUGGACACAGUCUGUAGCUUGAAAUAGAAUCUGCAAGGAUCUUCCAGGGACUGGGCGGGCGGUGGGGGGAGGAAUUUUACUUGGCCCUUUAUUCUGCAGGCCUCCUUG
rnacentral:lncRNA from 1 species